GACGCAGGUGGCGAGCGUUAUCCGGAAUCAUUGGGCGUAAAGGGCGCGUAGAUGGCCUGAUAAGUUAUUAGUGGGAAAUCGAGGCUCAACCUCGUGGAAGCUAGUAAUACUGUUUUGCUUGAGUACAGAAGAGGUUAAUGGAAUUCCAUGUGGAGCGGUAAAAUGUGUAGAUAUAUGGAAGAACAUCAAUAACGGCGAAGGCAGUUAACUAUUCUGUUACUGACAUUGAGGCACGAAAGCGUGGGGAGCAAAACGG
rnacentral:rRNA from 1 species